rnacentral:lncRNA from 1 species
UGCAAAUUAACCACUAGAUGGAUGGGAAAUCCUUCUUUUCCCUUUCCUCCCAGCUGAGACCAGGAUACAGGACUUUUCCCUAGGGAGUCUCCCAGUGAAACAAUGGAAAUGAAAGGAAGGAAGGAAAUGCCAGAAAUCUCCUAGGAGGAAGAGGAAUGAGAAGCCACUGGCUCUGCAGCCACUCAGCCCUUUGGCACCUCAGGCCUAUCCUGUACCUAGGCCACUGUGAGCAGUUGGAGGGAUGGCUGCUCAGCUGCUGACUGUAGAGUAUCCGAGCCCAAUACAAUUACGCACUGAGAGAGCUGCGAGUGAUCCCAUCAAAAUCCUGCACCCUGUUGACAUCACUGCAGAUCCUUAAGUCCUCCCGGCUUCCAGACCUGUGUAAGGAGGGCCCCACGGUGAACAGAUGUGGGUUUCCUCUUACAGAAAUCAGUGACGUUCAGGGACGUGACUGUGGACUUCACCCAGGAGGAGUGGCAGUGGCUGGAGCCAGCCCAGAAGGACCUGUACAGGGACGUCAUGCUGGAGAACUACAGGAACCUGGUCUUGCUGGGUAAGGGGGGUGGCUUCAUUGAGUCACUGUUAGCCUAUGGCUUCAGGACCACAAAGAAAUAAGAAAGAAGGUUGACAGAUUUGACUGUGCAGAACAAAAUUAAAAUUACUCUACUUGAAGCUAAAAAUAAAGUUAAUAGAUGGCAUGGGGAGUGAUUUUCU